CACAAAUGAGAUACACGACAAAGCAUGAUUUUGUUUGAUUAAUCAUCUCCCCAUACACCGCAGGUUUGACGAAAUACAUCUAGACAACAUACAGGCUUGACAAAAUUAAAUAACGUCAGUGAAUUGUUUUUAAUUUCUUCUAGGCAUUCAUCGACUUGCACGCCUUCCUCACACUCCUUGGAACUAGAACAUAGUCUGUUUCACAUUAAAUGAUUCACUUUUGAUUCUCGUAGUUGUAUAGUUGAGAAGCCAAAAAUGUCCUUGUGACAUUUGGAAGGAACUUUUCAGGCGUAUCUUGAAUCUUAUCAUUGAUUAUGAACUCUAUAUACUUUAUCACAAAAACUGUCAUAGGCGGUGUCUCUGUUUUCUCAAGCCGAAAAUCAGACUUCACAUCAAUUUGAAAAUCUAUAAUCUGUUCUUCUUUCUGUUGGAUUCUUGGACACGAUUAGUUAAGUCUUUGAGUACAGUCAUAAUGCUAGGCUGGAGAAAAAUAGAGAAUGGAUAAGCUAGCAAGAAGCAACGCCAUUGCAGGAUAAGUUAACUUAAUUGAAGAUUUCAGAUACAUUACACACUAUCGUGGCUUCUGAUCAUGUUGAUG
rnacentral:lncRNA from 1 species